rnacentral:tRNA from 1 species
AAAGAUUUAGUUAAAUUACAUAAUAAUAUUAAUUUGUCAAAUUAAAGUUAGGAUAUAAAAAAAAAAUCUAGUCUUUA